UUCGGGAUUGCCUCCAUCAAAAGCCAACUGAAAUGGUAAAAGAUAACGACUAGAUUUGUAUAACAGGCUGCUGUGAGUACUAAGAGUCAAGCCAAUGUUCAACAUCAGACACACAUUAGAUCGAAAAGCUGCUGCUGCUGUUGGCUUUGGGCAGAGCAUUUGGAGCUUCUGUUCAUCAAAGAUGAUGCUGUCUAUACAGAGAAGAAAGAACAGAUGUGGCCAGUCUAAUUAUUAUACAGGCAGCAGGAGAGUCCCUGGUGGUUGAUGGUCUACUCCAACAGUGGAAAGCAAUCAAUAUUGAUCAGGCA